rnacentral:misc_RNA from 1 species
AGAUCGCGCCACGAUAGCUUCGAGGACGCUUGCAAUGGUGGAAAAUGGAGUCUAUUAACCUGUGGUGUUGAUACAAUUGUUUUUAAUCAUAAAAAGCUUUUCAUGGAAUUAAAAUGGCUGGUAAAGUGUGGAAUUCAGAAAUAUGGAAAGCAUGGGAUAAACAUGGAAAAAACGAUUUCCUCAAGUUAAUCAAGCACAAAUUUAAGGAAGGCAACACUGCAGAAUGGAGAAGAGGAUUGUACGAAUUAAUAUCAAAUGGAAUCCGUGGGAACAUAAAAAGGGACAAUGUUGUUCAGACAUUAGGUGAACUUACGAAUAUUGAUGGAGCAAUACCAUCUGCAAUAGUGGAUAUAUUCACAUUAAUAGAUGCAGAGGCACAUAAUGAAGAAAGGAAUAAUUUUUAUUAUCUUGUAAAAGAAUCAGAAAAGUUUCUCACAGAUAGAAUAUUGAAGGAACGUUUAGAAAUUGAUACAUUGCAAGAUGUAGGAACAUUAAAAAACAAGAAUUUUCAAAUUAAAUUUAUUAAAGUGAAAACGAAAUUGUAUUAUAAACAACGGAAAUUUAAUUUAUUUCGAGAAGAAAGUGAAGGAUAUUCUAAACUUAUAGUGGAGUUAAAUCAAGAACGUCCAGAAAGUGAAGUAGCAUCAAUAUUGGAAAUUGUUAAGUCUCUUAUUGGAUAUUUUAAUCUUGACCCUAAUAGGGUACUUGAUAUUUUAUUAGAAACUUUUGAGAAUCGACCUCAAGAUGAUGCACUUUUUAUUCCUUUAAUUCGUUCAUAUAUGAGUGAUCAGCAGGUACUCUGCGAAGUUUUAGGAUUUAAAUAUUGUUCAACUGUCAAUGCUACUCCAUUUUCAUUACAAAAAGUCACUGCACUUAUGUUGCAACAUGGUGUUAUUAAAUUAGAUGACAUAUUGCCAUGGUUAGUGCCAGAUGAUAAAACUAUUAUCAAAGAGCAUGAACAAGCAAUGAAACAAGCAAAAGAAUAUGUUCGCAAAUUAAGUGUAAUUUCCACAAAGGAUAAAGAAGACAUACCAGAAGAAAAAGAAAAUUCACAAGAUAAAUAUACAAGUAAUCAAAAAUUCGGAUUAUGUGAAGCACUUCUAGAAAUAGGAGCAUGGGAAGUAGCACAAAACUUAUUUAAUCGAUUACCAGAACACAGUCUCACUGAUCAACGUCCUAUUGCAUUAGCGCUGUGUAGAAUGAUUCAAUCUCUUAUUGAACCUGUUUAUCGCAAAUAUUGUAUAAUAUCGCCAAAAUUACAAGGUAGAAGAAUUCCACAAUUAAAAAGUUUUCUUGCUCCAAAGCCCAUUGAAAAUCUCGAAGAACUUCAUGAUCAAUUAUUACCAAUGCUUAUAGUCUUGGGUCCUAAUUUGCAUCAUGAUCCUGUUUUAAUGUAUAAAAUCAUGAGAUUAUGUCACACAGCUAUAAAACAAUGUGCAUUAGACUCGAAUAAGCUACCAAUUGAUAAAAAUAAUAAUUUAUAUUAUGAUGUAUUGACUAUUCUUGAUGUGGCAUUAUUGCCUUCUCUAUCUUUUAUGGAUUGCAACUGUUGCGUUGCGGAAGAAUUAUGGAACAUAUUAAAAUAUUAUCCAUAUCAAAAUCGAUAUUGUUUAUAUGCCCGAUGGAAAAAUGAUACACCUUUGCAGCAUGCUGCACUUUUAAGAAAAAGAGCAGAUGCACAAAAGAAAAUUAAAUCCAUUAUGAAAAGAGUAAGCAAAGAAACUAUAAAACCUGUAGGAAGAUCAAUAGGCAAACUUACACAUUCUUCACCUGGUGUAUUGUUUGAUUAUGUUCUUAUACAAAUCCAGUUGUAUGAUAAUCUUAUAGGACCUGUUGUAGAUUCUUUAAAAUAUUUGACUAAUAUUUCUUACGAUGUACUUGGCUAUUGUCUAGUGGAAGCUUUAGCUGGUGCUGAUAGAGACAGAUUUAAACAUGAUGGUACCAGCAUAUCUCUUUGGCUUCAGUCUCUCGCUUCAUUUUGUGGAGCCAUAUUUAAAAAAUAUAAUAUCGAACUUACUGGUUUGCUACAGUAUGUAGCUAAUCAACUUAAAGCACAAAAAAGUUUAGAUUUAUUAAUUUUGAAAGAAAUAGUACAAAAAAUGGCGGGUAUUGAAGCUGCUGAAGAGAUGACAUCAGAUCAAUUAGAUGCUAUGGCAGGAGGAGAUUUAUUAAAAAAUGAGGCUGGUUAUUUUAGUCAAGUACGCAAUACAAAAAAAUCAUCGCAACGAUUAAAAGAAGCUCUCGCUGAACAUGAUCUCGCCGUAGCAUUAUGCCUUUUAAUGGCACAGCAAAAACAUUGUGUUGUUUAUAGAGAAACGGAUAAAUCUCAUCUUAAACUUGUUGGAAAAUUGUAUGAUCAAUGUCAAGAUACAUUAGUUCAAUUCGGUACAUUUUUGGGAUCUACUAUGACGGUAGACGAAUAUGUGGAAAGAUUACCUUCCAUACAUUCAAUGCUUCAAGACAAUCAUAUACAUUCUGAUGUAGCAUUUUUUCUUGCAAGACCAAUGUUUGCACAUGCAAUUAAUAUUAAAUAUGACAUUUUACGUAAAGCUGACCCAAAUUAUAAAAAAAUGUCGACUACUAUGAAACAAGCAAAAUAUGCAGAAGCUGCACAAGCAGUUAUGGCACCUGUUGCUCAGUCAGUUAGACCUUUGCAUCCACUUAAAGUAUGGGAAGAUAUUUCGCCACAAUUCCUUGUAACAUUUUGGUCCUUAUCUAUGUAUGAUUUAUAUGUUCCUAUCGAGAGUUAUCAAAGGGAAAUCAAUAAAUUGAAACAACUUGCAGCACAAAGUGCUGAUUCCAAAGAUGUGAAUGUUAGUAAGGGAAAGAAAGAACAAGAAAGAUACACAACUUUAAUUGAAAAACUACAAGAUGAAAGGAGAAAGCAGGAAGAGCAUGUAGAAAAAGUAUUUGCAUAUCUAAGACAAGAAAAAGAUACAUGGUUUUUAUCACGAAGCGCAAAAUCAGCAAAAAAUGAAACGAUAACGCAAUUUUUACAAUUGUGUCUAUUUCCUCGAUGUACAUUUACAACCGUGGAUGCCAUGUAUUGCGCUAAAUUCGUUCAUACUAUACAUUCUUUAAAGACUGCGAAUUUUUCAACUCUUCUUUGCUACGACAGACUUUUCUGUGAUAUAACAUAUUCAGUUACCUCAUGUACCGAAAACGAAGCAAAUCGUUAUGGAAGAUUUUUAUGCGCCAUGCUUGAAACAGUAAUGAGAUGGCAUUCUGAAAAAGCCAUAUUUGAUAAGGAAUGCAGUAAUUAUCCGGGAUUCGUAACAAAAUUCCGUGUUAGUAAUCAAUUUUCUGAAGCAAAUGAUAUGGUAGGGUUUGAAAAUUAUAGGCAUGUAUGUCACAAAUGGCAUUAUAAAAUUACAAAGGCGAUUGUAGUUUGUUUGGAUUCUAAGGAUUAUGUACAAAUAAGAAAUUCUUUGAUAAUAUUAAUAAAAAUAUUGCCACAUUUUCCUGUUCUGGCUAAAUUAUCUCAAAUUCUUGAACGAAAAGUAGAAAAAGUGAGAGAGGAAGAACGUGGACAACGUCAGGAUUUACAUGUAUUGGCUACAUCGUAUAGUGGUCAAUUAAAAGCUAAAACUCCAAAUAUGAUUCGUGAAGCAGAUUUUCAUCAUGUGGGAGAUAAGACUGGAAAAACACAAGACACUUCAAAUAGUGAUGCUUCGGAAAAAAUUGGAGAUGGAAUAUCGAAUAAAGAAAUUACAAAUGGUGAUACCAGGAUAGAAAAGGAAAGUAAAGAUCAACGAGAAAAACGGAGUGCAUCAAAUCAGUUGCAUCAUGACAGUUCCGAAAAAGUUAGAAAAAAAGAAGAAAGUAAGGAAAAUUCAGAAGGAAAAGAUAAACAUUUAAAAAAAGAUGAAAUUAAAGAAGACGAUACGAUAGAUAAAAAAGAUCGAAAAUAUUACAAAGAAGAACAUUAUUAUGGCAGUGGUGUAGAUAAUUUAGAUCGUGAUCUUUCUAGUGUAUCAAAUAGUAGUGCUAGUUCUGGACCAACACAAGAUGGAUCAGAUAGAGAUGCCAAAAGAAGAAAAGUUGAAAAUGUACAAAAGGAAGGAAGACGUUCUGAAGGAAGUCUUGAUAAAAAAGAGCGUUCCAGUAAAGGCAAAAUAAGAGAUGAACAAAAAGAAUUGCGUAGAGAAAAAAAAUUCGCACGGAAAAGGGAUAGAACAGAUGAAUCAGCAGUUACAACAGAACAAAAAAGAAGAAAAGAUGACGAAAAAGCAAAAGGAACACAUCAAAAUGGUGAUAUUCCCGAACAUAGAGAAAAACACCAUUACAACAAGUUGAUAAAGACGUCCGCUUCGAGUACAUUGAAAAGACGAAAUGGGAGACAAUAGCAAAGACCAGAAAAACUAGGAAAAGUCACCCUACACAAAGGAACGUACUCAUGAACGAGAGGGACGCGAAAGCCGGGACAAACAUAGAAGAAGUUCGGAUCCCAAACGAAGAUGAUGUACAACAAUAGACAAAAUUUGACUUAACAUUUUAUAUACUACGUUUGGUGUUGCAUGUAAUUAAGGUAGAAUUCAAAUAAUAAAGAAAAAAAGAUAGUGAAUAA